rnacentral:rRNA from 1 species
AUUGAACGCUGGCGGAAUGCUUUACACAUGCAAGUCGAACGGCAGCACGGGGGCAGCCCUGGUGGCGAGUGGCGAACGGGCGAGUAAUACAUCGGAACGUGACCGGUCGUGGGGGAUAACGUAGCGAAAGUUACGCUAAUACCGCAUACGAUCUGAGGAUGAAAGCGGGGGACCUUCGGGCCUCGCGCGAUCGGAGCGGCCGAUGUCAGAUUAGGUAGUUGGUGGGGUAAAGGCCUACCAAGCCGACGAUCUGUAGCUGGUCUGAGAGGACGACCAGCCACACUGGGACUGAGACACGGCCCAGACUCCUACGGGAGGCAGCAGUGGGGAAUUUUGGACAAUGGGCGCAAGCCUGAUCCAGCCAUUCCGCGUGCAGGACGAAGGCCUUCGGGUUGUAAACUGCUUUUGUACGGAACGAAAAGGCUCUGGCUAAUACCUGGGGCUCAUGACGGUACCGUAAGAAUAAGCACCGGCUAACUACGUG